rnacentral:lncRNA from 1 species
GAAGAGACUCAUUACUAUCCAACAGGCCUGGGAGGAAGGAUGGAGCUACCUGACCCUCCCCUGUUGCCACAGGUUGAGCCACUCCUGUAGCGGGAGGAUCUCGAGCCACCUCGAUAUGACCAUGCUCCUCCACAAUACCACCUAACACCAUCAUAGUAUGAUCCGGUACCCCAGCCACCGCAUGACCCGGCACCACCACAGUAUAAUUCAGUGCCUCCACCGUAUCAUCAAGUACCACUGCAGGGCCAUCCAGUCCAUCCUCAGCCCAGUCCAGUCCCUCAUCCACGGGACCCAGCUCCUCU